rnacentral:rRNA from 1 species
GAUGAACGCUGGCGGCGUGCCUAAUACAUGCAAGUCGAGCGAACAGACGAGGAGCUUGCUCCUCUGACGUUAGCGGCGGACGGGUGAGUAACACGUGGAUAACCUACCUAUAAGACUGGGAUAACUUCGGGAAACCGGAGCUAAUACCGGAUAAUAUAUUGAACCGCAUGGUUCAAUAGUGAAAGACGGUUUUGCUGUCACUUAUAGAUGGAUCCGCGCCGCAUUAGCUAGUUGGUAAGGUAACGGCUUACCAAGGCAACGAUGCGUAGCCGACCUGAGAGUGUGCUCGCCCACCGUAGAACAGAGACCGCCCCCAGCCUCCUGCGGGAGGAACCAGUCGGGAUUCUUACGCAAGGGGCGAAAGCCUGACGGAGCACCGCCGCGUGCGUGAUAAAGUUUUUCGGAUCGUAAAACUUUUUUAUUGGAAAAAAACAAAUGUGAAAGUAACUCUGCACGUCUUGCCGGUACUUAACCAGAAGGCCCGGACAACCUACGUC